AUAUAUAUAUCACAUACUAUCAUUAUACAAGGGACCCUAUUUUGCUUAAUAAAACUUCCAUCUUUUUUUAUUGUUGGGUCAUAUCUUGAGAGAGAGAGAGGAAGGAGAGAUAAACUUUUGGGUCGGUACCCUUGGGAUUAUCUCCUCUCUCUCUUUCUCUCUCUCCUUUCACAUACGGCAGAACCUCAUCGCCGUUGUGUUCCACUUUUUCUCAUUCUCUUUUUCUCUUUUCCUCUUGUGGUCUCGCUUGACCACGAUCUCUCUCUUCUAUCCUCCCUAUGGUCCCUCGCGACCACAACCUUUCCCACUUCGCCUUUGUGGUCCAACAUGACCACUAUUUCCCUUUUUCUUUUUCCUUUAUCUCCCGCAUGACUGUUUUCUACCUGUACACCCUCGCGCUUACAUGUCCCUUCUUUUUGUGGUAGUCCCUCGUAUGUGUUUCCCUUUUUUUUCUUUUUUGGAAUUCACUCACAUCCCCCUUUUUGGUGAACCCUCACGUUACCAUUUUUCCACUCACGUUCUGUGGUCUCGCACGAUUACCAUUCCCCGCGCAGCAAACCAAUACUUAUCGCCCGCGAGCGCAACAAACCCCAAACGCCGUGUACAACCGGUCCUCCCCCAUCGUCGUGUGCAACCUAUCCUCCCCUACUACCACCCAACACCGUGAGUGCAAGCCACCACCCACCGCCGUGCGUAAACUCCACACUACAACCGGAGCCGGCUGCAAAUCCCUGCUACACCAGUCUUUUCUCGCUCUCGCUCAGCUGCACCUCAGCCCCUUCACUCUCGGCUGCCAGCCUCACCGUCUCCACUUCUGCCACUGCUUUCUCUCUCUCUAGCUCUCUGCCCUCUGCCCUCAACCAUCUUUCGCCACCAUAACCACCCACCUAUUCACGUAACCUUUCCAUCUGCUCUUAACCCAAGCUCUCCCACUCUCCUCCCCAAUUACUGCCAUACUCCAUUCUUGCAAUUCUUUCACCGCUAUUCUCUUCCAUCCUCCGCCUGCAGCCCAUCCGCCUCUUCCUCCAUCUCCACUUCUCUCAAUCGCCACAUCCACCACCUGUAAUUUCCAUCACCUUGCUGCUCCGCCAACGACAACUUUAUCACCUCUAUCUCACCGCCCCAUCUAAGCUGCUGCCCCCUACCUCUGUUGAAGCCACCUAUCUGUCACCCAAUUCCACCAUUCUUCGCCCAAUCUCAGUCAUCUCCGCUACCUCCCGUUGGCUGUCCCCGUCCCUUUUUUGCUCCCAUCUCAAUCUUCACUUCACCCGCCUGAACCAGGCGACACCAUAUCUGUCAUUGCGGCCCUCUUUCUCUGCCUCCUUCCUCUCAGCCUGCUAUUUCAGGCAGAAGCUGAAUCGUCAUCGCUGCCACUCACAGCCUCAUCUCUCCUCACUCCACCGAGUCUUCUCCUCUACUGCUGCAACCUUCGCUUGACCCCCAUUCUCUCCCUUCCACCUUCACUUGCUGGCCGCUACUCUCCUGUGGUUUAUAUCCCCUGCACUUUCUCUCACUAGAAACCCACAAGGCCAAAACCGAUGAACGAAACCCACUUCCCCUUUUCUUCUUUUUCGUCUUUUUCAUUUCGUUGUAGGAUUGCGUUAGUUUCGCAUUUUUUUUGUUUUCGUUGUAGGAAUGCGUUUCACCCACUUUCUCUCACCUUAUUUCAUUCAACCUAUCAAAAAGCAAACCCAACACGCCUCCCUUUCAUUCAUAUAAAACCAAAUACUUUUCCCUCUCUCUCUCAUCCGAAUAAACCCUUUCUCCCUUGCUCAACUAAACCCUUUUAUUAUUAGUUUAUUCCACUUAACCUCACCCAUCCUAUUUACCUCACCUUAGUUUAAUUUAAUAUAUUUCCUUUUAUUCCAUUUAUUUGUUUUAUGUUCCCUCAACUUAUUUUCAUUUAUAUUUAUUUUAUGUAACUCAUUUAUUUUAUUUUAUUUCAUUUUAUUUUAUUUACCCCUUUUAUUUAUUUCCAUUACGUCAUCCUAUUUUAUUUUAAUUAUUUAUUUUACUUUAUUUCAUUUACCUCUUUUAUUUUAUUUACCGAUCUUAUUUUAUUUCUUUUUUCUUAUCCGUUUUAUUUUAUUUUCCUUUACUUCAUUUUUUUUUAAUUUAUUCCUUUUAUUUUCCAUUUUAAUCCUAAUUCUAUUUUCUAAUUUUAUUUUAAUUGAUCUCUUUCAUUUUCAUUUCAUCUCAUUCUUUAUCACUCUUAUUUCACCAUCACUUUUAUUUCCACCUUCGUCUCUUUUUGGAAGACCUAGCGAGAGUCAAGCUAGUCGUCACCUCCCCUCUUUCUCUUAUUGACUUCUUUGACCAGAGGGCAAGCUGAACCUUGAGCCAUUAUGCCAGGUUGGUCGGUGUUGAUUCUGUCGUUGAGUAGUACUGCCACUGUGCCGGUCUGAGUUACCGUGCCUGUCUUGCUACCAUGUCAAGUCAGUUACCAUAGUGGUCUAGCCAUUGUGCCAGCUUAGCCGCCCAAUCAAACUUCUUCUCACUUUCACUUCACCCUGUAACAAGGUGGGGACUUAUGCCCCACUUGUCUGUACUUUUAAUUGUGUGUGUGUGUUUGCAGGAAAGGAGAAACAAGUCAAGGGAUGCGAUUCCAAACAGGCUAUAGGCCAAGGGGGGCUUUACAACGUGAUAAAAGAGGGCGCCCACGCGAGCCAGCCCUAGUGUGUCAUGGACCCAUGUGAGGUAAGUCCUGCCUCACGACCCCAAUUCUUCUUUCACCAAUUGGUACUCCUGCCCUCGUCUUCUUUACGUUGUUCUCGAGAGAGCGAUCUCAGGUCCCGAGUCCAUCUCGAACUCGGAACCUAGCCAUCAGGUCAACCCGACCAAGAGGGUGAGAUCAAAGCACCUAACUAGCAAACAUGAUGCUGGGGUCAGUUGUCCUCUUUUCUUCAGAUGCAAGAUCAAUGAUGGGGUCAGUCGUCCUAUUCAAGAGCAACGCUGGUCGAUGAUAUAUCCUUGUAACCUCCCUAAUAA
rnacentral:lncRNA from 1 species